UACGUAGGGUACAAGCGUUGUCCGGAAUUAUUGGGCGUAAAGAGUUCGUAGGCGGUUUGUCGCGUCCGCUGUGAAAUCUCGAGGCUCAACUUCGAGCUGUCGGUGGAAACUAUCUGGCUAGAGUCCGGAAGAGGAGAAUGGAAUUCCUGGUGUAGCGGUGAAAUGCGCAGAUAUCAGGAAGAACACCCGUGGCGAAGGCGGGUCUCUGGGCCGUAACUGACGCUAAGGAGCGAAAGCGUGGGGAGCGAACGAGG
rnacentral:rRNA from 1 species